rnacentral:lncRNA from 1 species
GAGCCCAGCUGGGGUGGUAAAUAGAGUACAGUACAAAAGCGGAAGGGGCAGGCCUAGAAGCUGAAAGAAAAGCUCGAUAAUGGGGAAACAGUGUUUUUUCCUUCAAUUAAUGAUUAAUUUCUCAGCUGGUGGGGCCAGCAGUCUCUGACCGUCACGUGACAGCUAUGCGCCCCAUGACGCCUCUCCAGGGAGGCAGAGUGGGUGGCACUGAGGUGGAGCUCACCUUCCUGAAAUUCAGCCCCCUCAGUUUGGAGGAAGGAGGUAAACUGUUUCCUGUCCAGCCAGAAGUUUGCGGAGGGCCUUCCCCAGGCCAGGCAAUGCUGCCUGCGACUCUGUCCCUGACAGCGUUGGAUGCACCGUAUCUCUUCUGAUAUUAAGUCUGGAAGUGAUUUACUAUCCGAGUCCUCCCACAGUUCGAGCCUUUUGAUGUACUUUGUGUGCAUGUGUUUCUGUCACAUACGUGCCACAGUGGAACAGAUUUUGUUUUGACACUAUUUUGGUUCAUGAUGUUAUACUUUGACUAUUUUACAAUAAUAGCCAAUGUAAACAAACAUCUUUGGGAUUCUCAAAUUAUUACUUAUGAUUCUUGGACAUUGCAGCUCUUCGAUACUGACGCAUUCCUAGCUUUUUCCAAGGACACCGUAUGUUAACAUCCGUGCCAGCCUCAUUAUCCCCACAGCCAGGCUCUGGGUUGGGCGGUAAUGAGCAUUGUGCGGUUUCACUUUACACUUUGCAAAGUUGAUUAAGGCAGUGCCUUCUCCCAUGAUCAUUUUUGUACCCUGAUGUAGUAAAAUGGCUAAAUAUGGUGAAAGUUUUCUGGUGUUUCUUUCUUUAGCUGCCAUGUCAGAGUCCAGUCUGCCUGGCUGUGUUGAAUUCGAUUCUAUUGGCACGCUACCCAGUUUUACAUUCAUUUAAAGAUCAUUUAAAGGGGAUUACGAAGCUGUAUAAGUUAAUGAUUUAAACGAGGCCUAAGUUACUAGUGUGUCUGUUUCAGCACGCCCAAUAUGAAAUCACCUUAAAAAUUGCUUUCGUGGGGGAAAAUCGUGUCGGAGCAUUUUCCAAGUGGGUUUAAAGGCAAGUCAAAAUCUGUCAAUUGGUGGCUUGGGUGGGUUUGCAUUUGAGGCCUCCAAAGUUCAAACGGCCCCAGCUAGAGGGAGGGCUAGAUCCGCGGGCGGUGGGAAGGUGUGCAGGGCUUCCGCUGGUGGGUGUUGGUGCGGUUCCCCUCGACUCCCCACCGGGACGCCCCCACCCCGUGGCAGCGACAGACCGGCCCGUAAGGUCCCCCAGCCUGGCUCCAGGACUCACUCACUCCGCCUCUAGGGCAGGCCCCGCGGCGGCUCUCGCGUCCGGGCCCCUCGCGGUAAUCAGAAGCAGCUCCGGGCCGGGAGCUCCGCGCUGGCCAGGCCGCCUUUGCCACCCCCGCGUGAUGCGCCGGGGGGCGGGAGGAGCCUGCGGGGGCGGGGGGCGCGUCUCAAGGUCCUCCCUGCACAUCUGGCGCAAUGGGGAGCGUUCGCCUUUCUUUCCCGGGUUUUGUUCUCACAGCUGUGUCCAUUCCGCCCGUGACCCCGCGAGUGAUCCCUGACAGGUGAUGAAUUGGCGGCGGCGGUGGCGGCGGCGGCGGCGCGCGGGCCAGGCCGCGGCGGGGCCGGAGCCGGAGCCCCGGAGCAGACUCUCUGGCGCCAGGCGCGUGACGCCGCCCAUUCACGCCGCCCUGCAGCCUUGUCCUCGCGGCGCCGCUCAGGCGGCUGCCAUGGCAACCGCGCCGUCACUCAGCGCGCGCGCCCAGCUGAUCAAUGCCUGCGAGGCCCGGCAGUCCCAGGCUCGCCCAGGCCCGGCCGCCGGCCCGCGCGCACCUGCAGACGCUGCACGUCUUAAGUUUCGAGUGAUUUGGGGAAGGAAAGAGGACCGAGAAGAAAAGAAAAGGGCUCGGGGGGGGGGGGGGGUGGGCGGGUGAGGGGCGGAGGAGAGGACGAAGGAAAAAAGCCGGGAGAGGGAGAAGAAAGAAAUCUUCCUUUUGCAAAAGGAGGCAUAAUGUGGCUUAGAGGUUGCCAAAGCAAAAGGUUUUGCUUUAUUUUGUUUUUGCAACCGAGGCGUUCAGGGUGGGGCUGGCGCGAGGGAAGGGUGGAUGGGGAGAAGGUCACUGUCUUAGCACAUGGCGAGAUUUAUUUACUCCUUUGGAUUAUUUCGGUUUCUCGCCGAAUGGCUUUGAUCCUGGAUUCCUAAAAAUACCUUUGAAAGAUUGAAAGACUCGCCCCGCCCCCCCAACCUCCACACCGUCUUACUGCCUAACUCCUCGGAACCCUCGGAGGUUGCGCAUAAACAAUUUUUUCUUCCAGAACGGCCCCCCUCUCCGCCCUGGGGGAGCCGGGAGGAUGUGCAGCCCCAGUCCUCCUGCUCGGCGGAGCCUCGCGCGCGCAGAGCCUAGCGCGAUUCGCGCCCUCAUUACUACUACAAAGCGCGGGCCAGACCAAUCCCCUUUCUAAUGCACCAUUUUCGACUGAGAACAUCAAGAGGCCAGAAACUUCCAAGUCAGCUUGCAGACGCAGACGCCUCCUGGGGUCCUGGCUUUAAGAACCAGAUGCCAACACUCCCGGACAGUUUAUGGCAUCCGGAUCCCUCAAGGGUGCUCAUCUGCAGUUGAGAGUCUAAUAAAUGGCAUUAACAAAGCGUUUCAGCGACUACCACGGCUUCACAGUGGCUCCUCCCCUGCCCUGCCACCAUUCAGGCUGUAAUUCCUUCCAGGAUUCCCGCACCAUCCUGUGUGCCCAGAGCUCUCUAGAGCACCAGGAUUCUGUGUGAAGAAUACAGAGACAGACGUUCCAUUUCAAAGAAAAAAGAGCAACACGAAGGCCCUCUUUAAGGAGAGAGUAAACAUUCACUUUAGGUAAAAAAUAGUCUUUUACACGCCUGUGCACGGCACACCUCUUUUGCUGUUCACCUUGAGCCCAAGAGUUUGGAAAGGCUGCCCCCAUUUCAGAGAGGAAGAAACGCAGGCACACGUGAAUGACAGACUCCUCUGUGGUGGCCUAGACUCCAGCCAACACUUCCUAGGACAGCCUGCCAUUGUGCAAAGUCACCAUGUAACAAAUGCAGACAUCUCUGAGAUCACCAUGCAGUGAGGAAGUCUAAGCUGGUGGCAUGAAGAGGCCACAUGGAAAGGGCUAAAAAAGGGGCCAGCCUCAGUCAUCCCAGCUGAGCACCUGGCUGGGAAUAAAAGAGGACUCCGUGGAUGUCCAGCCCAGUAAGAUGACCUCAGCCCCAGCCACCAACUGACCAAGCACACAAGACAUCGUGAGGCUGCCUGCUGGAGCCUGGCCAGUGGGACUGUAGAGUAACUCAUUGUCGUGCAGGAACUCCUGGGAUGGUGUUGCCCAGUGACACAAUCCCAGUGUGGCCAUUUCUGAUCCCGAGAAAGCAGUCAGGAGUGGGUGGAUGCAGUUACAGUUCAUCAAGUCCUGCUAGUUCAAGUCAUGAGUCCUGAAUUCUCCAGGAGGAGCCACUAAAGAAAUGCAGAAGCAGGCAAUCCUUGCAAUAAGGCCAGCAAACUGCCAGUGUGAAGGAUGCCCAGGUAACCUGCCCAUGCCAGAACGGCCAGGAGAUGGUGGAACCAGAAUCUAAGCCCACGCCCAUCUGACCUCAAAGUCUGUGCUCCUGAGGUUCGCACCGAGUUGCCUCCUAAGACUUGCUGAAACUGGAUCACGUCCAUUUACCCAUCUCUGAGAGAAAUGCAAGCUUUAAAAAAGGAAAUAUUUACUAUGGAUAUUUUACAAUAGUUCCAAAACAUGAAAGUUUUAAAUAAGAUAUUCUUAACCAUCCUCACCACAUCUUCAGGUUCCCUUACAGCCACUGUGUUUUGACGAUUGCCCAUUAGAAAAAAAGACUAUGCUUUCUGUAGGUUUUAAAGGAAUGGUGGUGAAAUAAGGAGCAUUCCCUGAGCAGAUCUUGCCUGCGGGCACACCUCUGAGCAUUGGACCAGGCGAGAAGAGCCCAUGUGUUGGCUGCUUUGGGAUCCCAGCACUGCCAAUGGCAGGUGGGCUGUGGCCCAGGGAGAGAACCUAGCCUUUUGCAUUCUCUUGCCCCAUUUGAAAAUGGAGACGAUAGUGGCGCCCCGCUCAGUGUUAUUUUGAGGAUUUGAAUGUAUCUCAGAUGUAGUACCUGGAAAAAUAUAAGUGCUCAGUAAAUACGGUUGCCAGAUAAAAUGCAGGAAACCUAUUUAAAUUUAAGUUUUGGCUGGACAAUGAAUAGAAUAAUUUUUCUUAGUAUGAGUAUGUCCUUAUAUUUCAUCUGCUAAAUUUAGCAACCUCCUCAGUAAACGAUCACUACAAUUGCAGAAACGCCUUAUGACAGAUAUAGUAAAUCUGUAAAGAAAUAGGAACUUGCAUUUAUUUUUACUAAGCUCUGACUGGUUAAGAUAACUGGGCAAGAGAAGAUAUCUUCGACUAAACUUGCAGCACAUAGAGUAUAGAGAUUCAAAUUUGAAGUCCUAUAGGACUAGAAUGGCCAGAGGUGAACUGUAGCGAGCUUAUCUAAAGAGGACCAAUUUCAAAAGUUCCUCAGAGACUUAAAUGGGCCCACAGACCCCUCCUGUGUCUUUGCAUAAGCCAGCUCGUUAUAUCAGUUAUAAGUUGAUUUCCAGAGAAAUGUACCCUGGAGAUCCCUCUCCCACUUGAAAUAGGACUGGCCAAUCCAGAUGUCCCCCAGGUGAUGUUGGCUCAAAUGGAGCUCCAUAUAUUGGAGAAUCUAUUCAAGAAAACAAGCAAAAGUAUUUGUGACUGAGUUAGCUAAUGCCAGCUGGUAUCUUGAACAAACCCAGAUCUCUAACAUGCUAGUUUAUUUCGUAGUGUAAAAUGUGUGUUACUGAUGGGCAGACAGCUCUCAUUCAAGCAGUGACAGAUGUAAGCUCUUCCCAUUUUUGUGGCCCCAUUGUAUUCGGCGUGUGGCUUCCAAGUUGCCUGGGAUCAUCUCCACCCAGACUAAGGAAGAGGAAAGAGCUUGGACAACUGCACUUGGCUGGUUUUUAUGGAUCAGGCAAGGAAUUGGCUCCAACACAUUAGCUCACAUUCCAUUGGUUAGAACUGGGUUUCUCAACUAUUAGUACAGGGUGAGUGUAGGGUUUUGGCACCAUGGGCAUUUGAGCUGGCCAAAGGCUAAUCAGAGUUAGAACAAAGCCACAAAGCCUGUGAAUGGUGUUUAUUGUUGUGAGGAGCUGUCUUGUGCAUUGUGGAAUGUUCAGCAGGAUGCUCUCUGGCCUCAGAGACUCACUAGAUUCCCAUAGAACUCUCCUCUCUCCUCUAGUUGUGACAACCACAGUUGCCUCCUCUCCAGACAUUGCUAGAUGUCCCCGGGAGGCAAAAUUGUCCUGGUUGAGAACCACUGUGUUAGAACUCGGUCACAUGGCCAUACCUAACUGCAAGGGAGGGGGCUGGAAGAUCUAGACGAGUAGUAUGCCAGGAAGAAAAUAGAACUGAUUUAGAGGCUGCUGGCCAGUCACUUUCAGUGACCUUCAGCAUACUUAUUCCUCUGCAGCUGUCAGGACACUCAUGCCUGUUUCUGAGAUGUUUCCUGUGUGAGGGGACAUAGUGACUAUUGGAGGGGUGACAUGUUGGACUUGGGUAGGGUGAAGAGGAUUGGAAACCACCAUCAUGUUUGGCAGCAUUGAAUGUUUAUGACUAUUUGAAUAGUUGUGACAAGGGUACAGUGAAGGAGGAAGUAACCAUUUUUGAAUACCCUUUUACAAUUUGCAAAGCACUUUUAAAGGUAAGAGUGAGUUCCUAGACCAUAUUAGGGUGAGAAUGGACAUUGUUGGCUGCCAUAUCAUUGGGCAGGGGCUUUGAGAUUUUUGUCUUCAGAAGGCAGAUUAGAUUUGGAGUAGAAGGAGAAAUGUAAAGACCUGGUAUCUGAGUGUGUUUGCAGAGGGGAAUUGUCGUUUGGAAGCACAAGAAAGGGAAUGGCCCGUUGGCACAUAUGGUACAUUGUGUUUUCAUAUAAUUAUACCUGAAUGAAAGCAAGAGGAAACGUGUAGGAAGCUGUUUACAUAGUCCUUUUAAUAAUGUUUACAUGAGUUAAUGAACAUGCAAACGUAUCUGAUGAAAACAUGUCAGUAGUGAAACAGCCUUGUGAAGAAUCAGAUCUUACCUCAGGCUGGAAAAAAGGACUGGUUUUCCAAGCUCACAAAUUGCAGCCAGUGUGAAUAGUAGCACAAAUGACUGAGCUUUAAGACAUCCAUCCAUCCAUCUAUCCAUCCCCUCAUCCAUCCAUCCCCUCAUCCAUCCACCCAUCCAUCCAUCCCUUCAUCCAUCACUCCAUCCAGCCAUCCGUCCCUUCAUCAAUCCAUCCAUCCCUUCAUCCAUCCAUCCAUCCUUCCUUCCAUUCAUCCCUUCAUCCAUCCGUCCAUCCAUCCAUCCAUCCACUCAUUCAUCCCUUCAUCCAUCCAUCCAUCCAUCCUUCCUUCCUUCCAUUCAUCCCUUCAUCCAUCCGUCCAUCCAUCCAUCCACCCAUUCAUCCAUCCAUUCCUUCAUCAACUCAUCCCUUCAUCCAUCGUCUACCAUUCAUUCACCCCUUCAUCCAUCCAUUCAUUUAUCCAUCCGUCCAUUUACUUCCAUCCAUCCCUUUAUCCAUCCAUUCACCCAUUCAUCCCUUUAUCCAUAUGUCCAUUCCUCCAUCCAUCCAUCCAUCCAUUUACUCUUCAUCCCUUCAUCCAUUUUUCCAUCCAUUCAUCCAUUCAUCUUUUCAUCCAUCCAUCCAUUGAUCUAUCCAUCCAUCCAUUGCUCCAUCCAACCAUCCAUCCAUCCCUUCGUCCCUUCAUCCAUCCAUCCAUUCAUCCCAUCAUCCAUUGAUCACUUCAUCCAUCCAUCCUUCCAUCCUUCCAUCCAUUCUUCCAUUCAUCCAUCCAUGUGUUCAGCAAGUAUUUACUGAAUGCCUAUUAUGUGCCAAGCACUCUCCUCAGAACUUAGGAAAUACCAGGAAACAAAAUCAACAACAAUCCCUCACCACCUGGAUAUUACAUUUUGGUGGGAAGAGACAAAGAAAUAAAAUUGGUGAGUGAAUCACAUAGGUUAUUAGAAGGUGAUAAAGGUGUAGGUGAUAAAGGAGAAGUGCCAGGAGCAAGGAUUGGGUACAGUUGUGAAUAAGGUGGCCCCAAUAGGUUGCACUGAGAAGGUGACAUUUGCACAGAGACUUGAAGAAAGGAAGGAGAGAACAUGACUGUACCUGGGUAACAGCAUUUGUGGAAGAGGGAACAGCCAGUGUAAAAGUUCCAAGGCAUGAGUGCCUGGUACAUACAUGGAACAUCGAGGCCAGGGUGGCAGAAACGCGGUGAGUCCAGGAAGGGAAUAGGAACUAAGUGUAGGAAGGUGUACAGUGGGGUGGUGUGGGGGUGGAAUUGUGGCAGCCAGAUGGUGUUGGCCUAAGGCCUCUUGGCCCUUGUUAGGACUUGGUUUACCAUGGCGCAACACAUCCAUGAGAUUGGCAAAAAUUAAAAAGUCUGACAACAGAAAAUCUGGUAAUCUGGUGAGGAUGUGGAGCAGUGGGAAUUCUCCAAUACUGCCAGGGAGCAUGGGCAUCAAUCCCACCACACUGGAAUGCAAAGGGGCAUUCUGAGUAGAACUGAAGAUGUGCCCAUCCUUGACCCCACAGUUCCAGCCAUGGGCAUGCGCAUGAAUGUGCACACGUGUUGACUGCGGCAUUUGUUUGUCAUUAUGAAAACAUCUAAGUUUCCAUCUAUGGGAGAGGGGAUAAUGUGGGAGUGCCCAACAGUGGAGUUCUAGAGAGCAGUAAAAAUAAAUGGACUAGAGCUGCACACGUCAAAAUGGAUGAAGAUAAAAGACAUAAGGAUGGAAGAAGACCACCUGGCCACAGAAGUAUAUGUCCAAUAUGAUGCUGGUGUAUCCAGAGUGUUCAAACAAACAACACAACACUACUCAUUGUUUCCAACGUGAGUAUGAAAGUAUGGAGCAGUGCGGAGGGCCAGGAGUGCUGAAUCCACAUGGUUACUUCUCCAGGCGGGGGCCGAGGACCAGGGCUGGAGGUUUACUCCAGGAGCUUCAGUGGUGCAUGCUGAAUGUGCUGUUUCUUGGGCUGGGGGACAGAGAUGUGCAUGCUGUUAUACACUCUAUAUUGAAAUGAUUGUAUAACAAUAUACUAAUUUAUCAUGUAAUAAAUUUGACCAGAAAGAAACAA